UAGGGAAUAUUAGAAAUGGACGAAAGUCUGAUCUAGCAACACCGCGUGUGCGAAGAAGGCCUUUGGGUCGUAAAGCACUUUUUGGAAGGAAUAGGAAGGAAUGUACUUCCAGAAUAAGUCUCGGCUAACUACGUGCCAGCAGCCGCGGUAACACGUAGGAGGCAAACGUUAUCCGGAUUUACUGGGCGUAAAGCGCGUAUAGGUGGUACUGUAAGUAGGGCGUGAAAGCUCCUGGCUCAACUGGGAGAGGCCGUUCUAAACUACAGAACUAGAGGAUGGUAGAGGGAGGUGGAAUUCCAGGUGUAGCGGUGGAAUGCGCAGAUAUCUGGAGGAACACCGGUGGCGAGGGCGGCCUCCUGGACCAUUCCUGACACUCAGACGCGAAAGCUAGGGUAGCAAACGG
rnacentral:rRNA from 1 species